rnacentral:rRNA from 1 species
AGAGUUUGAUCCUGGCUCAGGAUGAACGCUAGCUACAGGCUUAACACAUGCAAGUCGGAGGGGAAACGACAUCGAAAAGCUUGUCUUUUGAUGGGCGUCGACCGGCGUACGGGUGAGUAACGCGUAUCCAACCUCGCCCACCACGUUGGGGAUAACCUUGCGAAAGUAAGACUAAUACCCAAUGAUAUCUCUAGAAGACAUCUGAAAGAGAUUAAAGAUUUAUCGGUGAUGGAUGGGGAUGCGUCUGAUUAGCUUGUUGGCGGGGUAACGGCCCACCAAGGCAACGAUCAGUAGGGGUUCUGAGAGGAAGGUCCCCCACAUUGGAACUGAGACACGGUCCAAACUCCUACGGGAGGCAGCA